rnacentral:rRNA from 1 species
UACGUAGGGGGCUAGCGUUGUCCGGAAUCAUUGGGCGUAAAGAGCGUGUAGGCGGCCCGGUAAGUCCGCUGUGAAAGUCGGGGGCUCAACCCUCGAAUGCCGGUGGAUACUGUCGGGCUAGAGUGCGGAAGAGGCGAGUGGAAUUCCUGGUGUAGCGGUGAAAUGCGCAGAUAUCAGGAGGAACACCAAUUGCGAAGGCAGCUCGCUGGGACGUAACUGACGCUGAGACGCAAAAGCGUGGGGAGCAAACAGG